rnacentral:rRNA from 1 species
AGAGUUGAUCAUGGCUCAGGAUGAACGCUGGCGGCGUGCCUAACACAUGCAAGUCGAGCGGAGUUAUAUGUGAUUCUCGGAUGAUUCCUAUAACUUAGCGGCGGAUGGGUGAGUAACACGUGGGUAAUCUGCCCUGCACUGGGGGAUAACAGUUGGAAACGACUGUUAAUACCGCAUAUGCACACGGGGCCGCAUGGUCCUGGGUGGAAAGAUUCAUCGGUGCAGGAUGAGCCCGCGUCGGAUUAACUAGUUGGCAGGGUAACGGCCUACCAAGGUGAUGAUCCGUAGCCGGCCUGAGAGGGCGACCGGCCACAUUGGGACUGAGACACGGCCCAAGCUCCUACGGGAGGCAGCAGUGGGGAAUAUUGCACAAUGGGCGCAAGCCUGAAUGCAGCGACGCCGCGUGAAGGAAGAAGUAUUUCGGUAUGUAAACUUCUAUCAGCGGGGAAGAAGAUGACGGUACCCGACUAAGAAGCCCCGGCUAACUACGUGCCAGCCGCUGC